rnacentral:rRNA from 1 species
CAGCCGCCGCGGGAAAACGAGGGGUGCAAGCGUUAUUCGGAUUGAUUGGGUGUAAAGGGUGUGCAGACGGCUUAUUAAGUCACUUGUUAAAUUCUUCGGCCUAACUGAAGGUCUGCAAGUGAUACUGAUGAGCUAGAGGGUGGAAGAGAGAAGUGGAAUUCUCGGAGUAGCGGUAAAAUGCGUAGAUCUCGAGAGGAACACCAAUGGCGAAGGCAGCUUCUUGGUCCAUUCCUGACGUUCAUACACGAAAGCGUGGGGAGCAGACAGGAUUAGAUACCCCAGUAGUCCCUGUCUCUUAUAC